GAUGAACGCUGGCGGCGUGCCUAAUACAUGCAAGUCGAGCGAACGGACGAGAAGCUUGCUUUUCUGAUGUUAGCGGCGGACGGGUGAGUAACACGUGGAUAACCUACCUAUAAGACUGGGAUAACUUCGGGAAACCGGAGCUAAUACCGGAUAAUAUUUUGAACCGCAUGGUUCAAAAGUGAAAGACGGUCUUGCUGUCACUUAUAGAUGAAUCCGCGCUGCAUUAGCUAGUUGGUAAGGUAACGGCUUACCAAGGCAACGAUGCAUAGCCGACCUGAGAGGGUGAUCGGCCACACUGGAACUGAGACACGGUCCAGACUCCUACGGGAGGCAGCAGUAGGGAAUCUUCCGCAAUGGGCGAAAGCCUGACGGAGCAACGCCGCGUGAGUGAUGAAGGUCUUCGGAUCGUAAAACUCUGUUAUUAGGGAAGAACAUAUGUGUAAGUAACUGUGCGCAUCUUGACGGUACCUAAUCAGAAAGCCACGGCUAACUACGUG
rnacentral:rRNA from 1 species